rnacentral:rRNA from 1 species
GACGAACGCUGGCGGCGUGCUUAACACAUGCAAGUCGAACGGAAAGGCCCUGCUUUUGUGGGGUGCUCGAGUGGCGAACGGGUGAGUAACACGUGAGUAACCUGCCCUUGACUUUGGGAUAACUUCAGGAAACUGGGGCUAAUACCGGAUAGGAGCUCCUGCUGCAUGGUGGGGGUUGGAAAGUUUCGGCGGUUGGGGAUGGACUCGCGGCUUAUCAGCUUGUUGGUGGGGUAGUGGCUUACCAAGGCUUUGACGGGUAGCCGGCCUGAGAGGGUGACCGGCCACAUUGGGACUGAGGUACGGCCCAGACGCCUACGGGGGGCAGCAGUGGGGAAUAUUGCACAAUGGGCGGAAGCCUGAUGCAGCAACGCCGCGUGCGGGAUGACGGCCUUCGGGUUGUAAACCGCUUUCGCCUGUGACGAAGCGUGAGUGACGGUAAUGGGUAAAGAAGCACCGGCUAACUACGUG